GGAUGCGAUCAUACCAGCACUAAAGCACCGGAUCCCAUCAGAACUCCGAAGUUAAGCGUGCUUGGGUUAAGCGUGCUUGGGCGAGACUAUGUACUAGGAUGGGUGACCUCCUGGGAAGUCCUCGUGUUGCAUUCC
rnacentral:rRNA from 1 species